rnacentral:rRNA from 1 species
UACGUAGGGUGCAAGCGUUAAUCGGAAUUACUGGGCGUAAAGCGCGCGUAGGUGGUUUGUUAAGUUGAAUAUGAAAUCCCCGGGCUCAACCUGGGAACUGCAUGCAAAACUGGCAAGCUAGAGUAUGGUAGAGGGUGGUGGAAUUUCCUGUGUAGCGGUGAAAUGCGUAGAUAUAGGAAGGAACACCAGUGGCGAAGGCGACCACCUGGACUGAUACUGACACUGAGGUGCGAAAGCGUGGGGAGCAAACAGG